rnacentral:rRNA from 1 species
CAUGCAAGUCGAGCGCACCCUUCNGGGAUGAGCGGCGGACGGGGUUANUAACGCGUGGGAACAUACCCUUUGGUACGGAAUANCCUCUGGAAACGGANAGUAAUACCGCUAUGAGCCCUUCGGGGGAAAGAUUUAUCGCCNAAGGAUUGGCCCGCGUUANAUUANGUAGUUGGUGGGGUAAUGGCCUACCAAGCCUACCAUCUAUAGCUGGUUUUANANGAUGAUCANCNNCNCUGGGACUGAAACACGGCCCANACUCCUACNGGAGGCAGCAGUGGGGAAUCUUGGACAAUGGGGGCAACCCUGAUCCAGCCAUGCCGCGUGAGUGAUGAANGCCUUANGGUCNUAAAGCUCUUUCNCCUGUGAAGAUAAUGACGGUAGCANGUAAAGAAACCCCGGCUAACUCCGUGCCAGCAGCCGCGGUAAUACGGAGGGGGUUAGCGUUGUUCGGAAUUACUGGGCGUAAAGCGCACGUAGGCGGACUGGAAAGUAUGGGGUGAAAUCCCAGGGCUCAACCCUGGAACUGCCUCAUAAACUAUCAGUCUANAGUUCGAGAGAGGUGAGUGGAAUUCCAANUGUANAGGUGAAAUUCNUAAAUNUUUGGANGAACACCAGUGGCGAANGCGGCUCACUGGCUCGAUACUGACNCUNANGUGCGAAAGUGUGGGGAGCAAACAGGAUUANAUACCCUGGUAGUCCACACCGUAAACGAUGAAUGCCANUCNUCNGGUAGCAUGCUAUUCUGUGACACACCUAACGGAUUAAGCAUUCCNCCUGGGGAGUAC